rnacentral:rRNA from 1 species
GAUGAACGCUGGCGGCGUGCCUAAUACAUGCAAGUCGAGCGAACAGACGAGGAGCUUGCUCCUCUGACGUUAGCGGCGGACGGGUGAGUAACAUGUGGAUAACCUACCUAUAAGACUGGGAUAACUUCGGGAAACCGGAGCUAAUACCGGAUAAUAUAUUGAACCGCAUGGUUCAAUAGUGAAAGACGGUUUUGCUGUCACUUAUAGAUGGAUCCGCGCCGCAUUAGCUAGUUGGUAAGGUAACGGCUUACCAAGGCAACGAUGCGUAGCCGACCUGAGAGGGUGAUCGGCCACACUGGAACUGAGACACGGUCCAGACUCCUACGGGAGGCAGCAGUAGGGAAUCUUCCGCGAUGGGCGAAAGCCUGACGGAGCAACGCCGCGUGAGUGAUGAAGGUCUUCGGAUCGUAAAACUCUGUUAUUAGGGAAGAACAAAUGUGUAAGUAACUAUGCACGUCUUGACGGUACCUAAUCAGAAAGCCACGGCUAACUACGUG